CCUACGGGUGGCAGCAGUGAGGAAUAUUGGUCAAUGGGCGCGAGCCUGAACCAGCCAAGUCGCGUGAAGGACGACUGCCCUACGGGUUGUAAACCUCUUUUAUCAGGGAAUAAAAGACGCCACGUGUGCCUUUUUGCAUGUACCUUAUGAAUAAGCAUCGGCUAACUCCGUGCCAGCAGCCGCGGUAAUACGGAGGAUUCGAGCGUUCUCCGGAUUUAUUGGGUUUAAAGGGUGCGUAGGGGGUGUUUAAAGUCGGUGGUAAAAUUUGGGGGCUCAACCUUGAAUUGCCAUUGAUACUGGUAGUCUCGAGUUCAGUCGAGGUAGGCGGAAUGCGUGGUGUAGCGGUGAAAUGCUUAGAUAUCACGAAGAACUCCGAUUGCGAAGGCAGCUUACCAGACUGCAACUGACGCUGAUGCACGAGAGUGUGGGUAUCGAACAGGAUUAGAUACCCCUGUAGUC
rnacentral:rRNA from 1 species